GAACACCGCCCAUCCCUACUUAGAGCUGACGCGGUGUCAUCAACUAGGAAAUGUUCAUAGUUAUGAUCACGUGAUGCUGGAAUCGCGGUAUUUAUAGAUGCAAAGUCUAACGAGAGAGCUUGGCAGAUGUGUAACCUAUAUAACUAUGCCCGUACAUUUGUGCAUGAGGCAUGUGACAAGCCUUCGCGUGACAGAAGUGAGAACUGUCGAAAUAUGCGACAGAAUUCUUCGUGUUAUAAUUUCCUAGUGCAGCAGACUUCCUGAAAACACGAUUUACAUUGUAUUUUAAGACGAGCUUUUCACUGUUCACUGUUCGAAGAGACUGUCAUGAGUGGUAAAACAUUUGAAGGCUAAAUGUUGAUAUCACGAAUAUGAUGUACGAAAUUGCCACUUCAAAAUUAGUCUCUCUAUAUUUUACUACAAUCUAUAAUUAAAUAGCGGAAAUCAUGUCGAAACCUGAUGGACCGAUACUCGUUAUUGCACUUUAUUCCUUCAAGGGAAAGAACAACGAUGAAUUAUGCUUUAAGAAAGGAGAUAUAAUAACAAUAACGCAAAUAGAUGAUGAAGGAUGGUGGGAAGGUACAUUAAAUGACAAGACUGGUUGGUUUCCUUCUAAUUAUGUCAAGGAAUAUAGAAUUCCAGAUGAUGGUCAUACAUUAAUUAAAGCAUCUCCAGAAAGAAGUCCACAAGAAUCACCUAUACAUCAAAAACUUAAUCGUGAUAUAGUAUUAAAAGAUAUUGUCAAUUCUGAAAGAAUAAAUGUGGCAGAAUUGCAGGGUUUAAUGAAUAAAUUUUUACAACCUCUUGAAACAUCAAAUAUAUUGAAAAAAGAUGAAUACAAACAACUACUUGGUAAUAUACAUGAAGUCUUAGAAACUCAUCAAUAUUUAUUGGCAAAUUUGGAGGCAACCAUUUUACAAGGACUCUCUGCAAGGAUGGGAAAUCUUUUUAUAACUAUUGCACCGAGACUGAAAUCUAUUCACACAUCAUAUUGUAAUAAUCAUCCACAAGCUGUUUGUAUAUUGGAUAGAUACAGAGAUGAAUUGAAUGAAUUUAUGGAACGUACUGGAGCGGUAUCACCUGGUAUACUAGUAUUAACCACUGGCCUUAGUAAACCGUUCCGACGAUUGGAUAAAUAUUCUGCUAUGCUUCAAGAAUUAGAAAGAUAUACUGAAAAGAAUCAUCCUGACAGAGGAGAUACUCAACGUAGUAUAGCAGUAUAUCGAGAAAUUGCGGACCAUUGCGCUUCCAUACGUAAGCAACGCGAGUUAGCGCUUCAAAUAUUAACUAGUGGGAUCAAAGGGUGGGAAGGCGAAGAGUUGAAUUCAUUAGGUGAGGUUCUUCAUGUUGGAUCUGUAACUUUAGCAACUGGUGUAGAUCGUAGAGACAGAUACUUUGUUCUGUUUCCUACCACUUUACUUGUGCUUAGUACCAGUCCAAGGAUGAGUUCAUACAUUUACGAGGGAAAACUCCCAUUAACAGGCAUUAAUGUAACUGGAAUUGAAGAUACGGAUGAAAUAAGAAACGCGUUGGAAAUCACCGGACCAAUGAUUGAAAGCAUCGUUGUGCUAUGUCCUACGAGAGAAGAGAGACAGCGUUGGAUCGAGCUUUUAAUUCAGGAACAAGGCGCUAGCCUUCUGAAAUCACCAACUAUGCCCCGCGUGAGUUGCCAUCAUCCACCGUACGCACGACUCUCCAGAUAUUUCGCGAAGCUCGUGAGGAGGAAAGUUAUAUAUCCUGAAUUAAUGAAGAAGUUAUUAUAUAUUCAAUACGUUUUGAAGCCAGAUUUGAGUAGUGUGAAAAUGAGAAAAUGCAAUGUGACCUAUACUAUCCUCCCGGCUCACAGUAGCGGGGAUUCAGACUCGGAUGUAACCACUGAAAGCCGCAACAUGCAGCAGGAGUCGCGAACAUUGUGUAAAUCCACGUUAAUAAUGGAUGUUAGAUACGUAGUAGAUAAUACCGAUCUUAGUAACGUAGGAAUAGCGAGCGAUUCCUCACUCACGAAUUUCGCGUCGAGAGUCGAUUAUGGUGACCGAUGUACCUUUGAGACUAGUAAAAGUUUGCCCGCUGGCACUACAAUGAGCCACGUCCUGCCAGAUAUUCUACUCGUAUCAAGCAAAUCGUGUACGUCGAAUCUUCAAGCACGCUCUAAUGAACUCUGUGAGGAGCAUUCGACAAAGAAGUCGAGCGUUCCGAACACAAGUAUUUUAGUUCGACAUUCAGUGAUCUCCACCCAUGGAGAUAACUAUGAUAGUAGUGAAAGGGAAUUUCGAGAAACUUGUGCAAAUACUAGUUUACGAUCAUCGGAUUCAGGAAUGGCUGAGAGUUGUUGCUUAAAUUCGUCCGAAAUUAAUUCUUGUUACAAGUCGUACGCAUCUAGUCAUAUAAAAUAUAUAGAUCCAGUAAGAACGUCUCACAGCGAAAGUGAAAAUGACGAGAAUAAGUUCGAGAAUCAAUGUAUUUGCACUUCGCCGUUUGGCUCUACACCUCGGGAUAGCGCCCAUUCUUUAGCCUCAUCCAAAAAUGUCGACGAGUGUACGAGCGUUGUAAAAGCUGAUACGAGCAAUCUUGAUGACGAUGUUAACGAUAAUCGGAAUAAUAGCGAAAAUAAAAUUCAAGAAACUGUAGCGACUCAUCCUAUUCUAAGUUAUGGAAAUAUAAGAGAGAAAAGGUACACGCAACCGAUACCAUACGCGCAUCAGUGUGUAAUUAAAAAAGUUGGAAGACGCGUGGUUCGUCCAAUUCAGCCGAUUAUAGAGGAACAUGAACCAACAAAUCAAGUAUAUUCAUCUGGAUUAUAUGCUCAUUGGUGGCUCAAGAAAUCUAUCCCGAUAUCUGGAUGCACGGAACAAGCAGAUGAACAACCAGAUGAACGGGAAACGACCGACAAUAGAGCAUUGUACGUCUCCAGGAAUUAAGACACCUUGGAGUCUCGCAUCAUUAAGACCUGCUCCUCCCUUAUAUUCUCUUAAGAACUUUGGUAAAAUAGAUACUACCACAGAUACAUCGCGCCCAUUACGAUCUUGCAAUGAACGACAAUUUGAAGAAGAUGCAAUCAUAUUGAAAGUAAUAGAAGGAUAUUGUCUUUCUGUCAAUGCAAGGUUCACUGUACAUUCUGGGGAAUCCAAUUCAAUGUUAGAUUAUGAAUCACAAAAGUCACGCGACAGGGUAUCAUCUAUGCAUAACAGAG